GAGGAACGCUGGCGGCGUGCCUAAUACAUGCAAGUCGAGCGAACAGACGAGGAGCUUGCUCCUCUGACGUUAGCGGCGGACGGGUGAGUAACACGUGGAUAACCUACCUAUAAGACUGGGAUAACUUCGGGAAACCGGAGCUAAUACCGGAUAAUAUAUUGAACCGCAUGGUUCAAUAGUGAAAGACGGUUUUGCUGUCACUUAUAGAUGGAUCCGCGCCGCAUUAGCUAGUUGGUAAGGUAACGGCUUACCAAGGCGACGAUGCGUAGCCGACCUGAGAGGGUGAUCGGCCACACUGGAACUGAGACACGGUCCAGACUCCUACGGGAGGCAGCAGUAGGGAAUCUUCCGCAAUGGGCGAAAGCCUGACGGAGCAACGCCGCGUGAGUGAUGAAGGUCUUCGGAUCGUAAAACUCUGUUAUUAGGGAAGAACAAAUGUGUAAGUAACUAUGCACGUCUUGACGGUACCUAAUCAGAAAGCCACGGCUAACUACGUG
rnacentral:rRNA from 1 species